rnacentral:sRNA from 2 species
AGCGCGACGGGGUCGACCGCGCGGGUGAGCAUCAGGUAGUUGCGGAGCAUGAUCUCGUGGCGGUUCUC